ACGGGGGGUGCAAGCGUUGUUCGGAAUUAUUGGGCGUAAAGAGCGUGUAGGCGGCUGAAUAAGUCAGAUGUGAAAUCCCUGGGCUUAACCCAGGAAGUGCAUUUGAAACUAUUCAGCUUGAGUAGGGGAGAGGAAAGUGGAAUUCCUGGUGUAGGGGUGAAAUUCGUAGAUAUCAGGGGGACCACCGGUGGCGAAGGCGACUCUCUAGCACGAUUCCGACACUGAGACGCGAAAGCGUGGGUAGCAAACAG
rnacentral:rRNA from 1 species